UGGUGUCAUGUGUCGGAGUCGGAUGAUCCGUUUUCCUCUUGUGGGACCACAUUAUACCAGCCAGUCUGUUGCCCUAACGGCCCAUCCAUUGGACUGUGCUUAACAUUUUGGGCUUUUGCAAGGCCUUCCGCUGGGCCCAAUUUUUAACAGAUAUAGAUACUUGCCUAUUUUGACCUUGCUAAACGGUGUCGUUCCAUGUCCUCCUGCUAUUACAGUCCCACAUUACCACUAUCUCCGUAUCUCGGUUCUCUGAUUCUCUCGAGUUCUGACUCCUGAUGCCACCGCUUCCGCUUCACAUCAGCCUCCCGGAUAUCAGCUUUGAAGAAGAUGAUUGAGUCUCCCGCCUGUGGUAGGUAAUGCACUCAUAGCAAUCGAAGAUCUUGAAGAACUUCUAGUUGAUUGUGCAUUCGUCAAGGUUAAUUCACAAUACAAGAUUAGAUAGUUGAUCGAUGAAGACUCAAUUACGCCUGUCCAAUCUCUUUAAUCAGCUUUGGAGAACCAUUACACUCCUCAUUCAUUUCGUUUUCUCUCUCCACAACUUCAACAACAUCUUCGCACCACUAUUAAUGGGAGAGGUUCACCAGAGACCACGCCUUGAAGAAGGGAGAAGUAAUGAAGGAGGAAGAAGGUCGUGGUCGGGCACGAGCAGCAUAAGACCACACCACCUUAGCUCCACAUGUUUCGGGGCGUUGUUCAUGCUGUGAUCAAUGGUCCACAUCUACCUGAUAUCCUCAAGGAAUGAAAAAAAAAAAGUUUUUUGCAUAAUAAUUUGUGAUUUUUUAUCCAAAUGGGCAGAAAUCAAAAUAUUUAGAGUAAAUUACAUGAAUGGUCCCUAUGGUUUGAAGUAAUUUGCGUAUUUGGUCCCUAAACCAUAGGGACCAUAGUAAGGAUUCUCCUUUUUGUUAAAUCUACAAGGUCCGCAUUGUUAGACCAGUUGGUAUGGACAACACUCAUAUGCGCGAUUCCAA